CCCCUUCCCCCCUGUGGCCAACACCUCUUCUGUCUGGGUUCCUCAAGCUGCUCGCUCCCCAUCUAGGCGAAGAUGUCCGCCCAAGAGAGUUGCCUCAGCCUCAUCAAGUACUUCCUCUUCGUUUUCAACCUCUUCUUCUUUGUACUAGGAGGCCUGAUUUUCUGCUUUGGCACCUGGAUCCUCAUUGACAAGACCAGCUUCGUGUCCUUUGCUUGUCCUUCGUGCCACUGCAGACCUGGUCCAAGGUCCUGUCGGUCUCGGGUGUCCUCACCAUGGCCCUGGCUCUCCUGGGCUGUGUGGGGGCUCUAAAGGAGCUGCGCUGUCUUCUGGGCCUGUAUUUCGGAAUGCUGCUGCUCCUGUUUGCCACACAGAUUACCUUGGGGAUCCUCAUUUCCACUCAGCGAGUCCGGCUGGAGCGAAGGGUGCAGGAAUUGGUGUUACGGACCAUCCAGAGCUACCGCACGAAUCCGGAUGAGACAGCUGCUGAGGAGAGCUGGGACUAUGCGCAGUUUCAGCUGCGCUGCUGCGGUUGGCAAUCUCCGCGGGACUGGAACAAGGCCCAGAUGCUGAAAGCAAACGGGUCCGAAGAGCUCUUUGUGCCCUGCUCCUGCUACAAUUCCACCGCGACCAAUGACUCCUCCGGCUUUGAUAAGCUCUUUCUCUCCCAGCUAAGCCGGCUGGGGCCGCGGGCGAAGCUGAGGCAGACUGCUGACAUAUGUGCACUCCCCGCAAAAGCCCAUAUAUACCGUGAGGUGGGACUAGCGGUAGCGGGUACCUCUGGAUCUGUGGGCUUGGGGCAGGGCAGGGCAGGGCACAGGAGAAGUCGGCCGUCGGUUGGGAGGGACUUUUAAAGGUCGGGAUCCUAAGAGAGUAAAUAAGCAGGGUUUGGAGGGUGCCGCUAUAAUCAGAGGCGUGGUCUCAGGAGGUGAGACGAAGGGUAGAAAAAAAGACAGGAAGGGCGGGAUCCCUGGAAGUUAGUGUGGCCCGCACAGGCUUCAGGAGUCCAGAGCAAAAGGUGGGCGGGGCCGGAGAGGGUUCAGGGGACCUCAGAUGCUGUCCAGGUCUACGCGUGGCGUAGCGUCAGGAGGGUGAGGCCACAAGAAAAGACCGAGACAGAAAGGGCAUUCCCUUAUAAGUAGUCUGACCUGCUCAGGGAUGUAAUAUGCCGGCAGAACUUUAGCUGGAUUGGGCUAUUAGAAAGGUAGUUACGAAAGGGGAGGAGCCCCCUGAAGGUGAGAGGCGUGGUCUAAAUAAGGGCGGAACUUGGAACCCCCGCCCAAGGCAAAGCUUGGAUAAGAAGUGGAUGGUUAUCUAAGCACUGGGUACCUAAGAAGGGAUCGGAGGGGCCCCCUGGCUUGAGGAUGAGUUCCAGACGCAACGCGGCCUUUACACGUCUUCUGCAUCCCCAGGGCUGCGCGCGGAGCCUCCAGAAGUGGCUGCACAACAAUAUCAUCUCCAUAGUGGGAAUUUGUCUGGGAGUCGGUCUUCUUGAGGUGACUUAGCCCUAUUGUAGAUGUUUUCCCAUUGCCGAGGAAACGCGCCUACUUAGUGGAGGCGUUGUUAUUUAUCACAGCAAUAGCAGGGGAUGGGGCGGAGGCCUGGCUUCUGUAAACUCUGAUUGGCUGUACGCGCAGUGCUGCCUCCUCCCCUCUCCUGCAGGUGAGCGGGAUGGCGCUGUGUCUGCAGCUACAGCGCCGAGCUAUGGGCGGAGAGCCUGCGCUGCCGCUGCCGGGAGCCGAGGGUUCGAACCCUACGCCAGGGCUGAACGCUGAAGGCAGCGGCGGGCGCUGGGGCGGGCUAAGCAGCUGCAGCGGACGCAGUAGCAUCCCGUGGGGCAGCUGGGGCAUGGCGGGUGCCUGCCCCACAUGGGGGGACAAGGCUCCACAAGGCAAGCUACCCAUGGCACUGGGCCCCUGGCCCUUGUGGGAUUCAGAGGAGGAACCACCUGAGACCGAAAGUGC
rnacentral:lncRNA from 1 species